rnacentral:rRNA from 1 species
UGCUAGUCGCACGAGUUCAGACUCGUGGCGAAUAGCUCAGUAACACGUGGCCAAACUACCCUUCGGAGCUCCAUACCCUCGGGAAACUGAGGCUAAUAGAGCAUAUCACACCACCACUGGAAUGAGUGGUAUGUCAAACGCUCGGCGCCGAAGGAUGUGGCUGCGGCCGAUUAGGUAGACGGUGGGGUAACGGCCCACCGUGCCAAUAAUCGGUAUGGGUCAUGAGAGUGAGAACCCAGAGACGGAAUCUGAGACAAGAUUCCGGGCCCUACGGGGCGCAGCAGGCGCGAAACCUUUACACUGCACGACAGUGCGAUAGGGGGAUCCCAAGUGCACAGGCAUAGCGCCUGUGCUUUUCGGUACCCUAAGGCGGUACCAGAAUAAGGGCUGGGCAAGACCGGUGCCAACCGCCGCGGUAAUACCGGCAGCCCAAGUGAUGGCCGAUCUUAUUGGGCCUAAAGCGUCCGUAGCUGGCCACGCAAGUCCAUCGGGAAAUCCACCUGCUCAACAGGUGGGCGCCCGGUAGAAACUGCGUGGCUUGGGACCGGAAGGCGCGACGGGUACGUCCGGGGUAGGAGUGAAAUCCCGUAAUCCUGGACGGACCGCCGAUGGCGAAAGCACGUCACGAGGACGGAUCCGACAGUGAGGGACGAAAGCCAGGGUCUCGAACCGGAUUAGAUACCCGGGUAGUCCUGGCCGUAAACAAUGCCUGCUAGGUGUGGCUCCCACUACGAGUGGGUGCUGUG